AUGCUGCUGAUGUCAAACACCAAGAUUAGCUUGCUUUCUGAGUUACAUGACAAAGAAUUCAACUGGAAUGUGUGUGUGCUCGUGUCUCGUCUGUGGCACUACCGUGGGGCAACUGAUCAUGGACCUAUCAUUCAUACUGACCUUGUGGUGAUUUAUAAAGAGGGAACCCACAUGUACGCCCAGAUACCUGCUGACGAAUCACCCCGCUUGAUGCAAGACCUAGAAGAGGGGAAGGUCUUUCUUUUCAGGAAGUUCCUGUGUAACCCAUCAAGGCCGGCUUUCAAGGUUGUUGACAACCCUUUCAUGAUUCAGUGCACUCGAUACACCACUGUUGUGGCUCAGGAAGAUUUGGAGGAUGCAUAUCCAUAUUGUACCUACAACCUUGUGCCCUUUCCGGAAAUCCCAAAGCCAGGUGGCAAGGCCCCUUAUUUCCUUGAUGUGAUUGGGCAAAUCACAGCAGUGUCUGAUGUCAUCUCUGUGCAAUCUAUGUAUCAGACGCAACCCUCGGACACAAGGACUAUUGUUCUACAAGAUCAGCUUGGCAAUGAAAUGAAACUCACCCUUUGGGGUGCUCGUGCACGCGAAUUCGAGGCUGAACAGGUUUAUGCUGCAGGCGAAACAGGCGCUGUCAUAGCCAUCUUUGUAGGAGUGCUGCCAAAAAUGUUACAAGGUGUUAAAUCAUUGAGUGGUAGUUCUGCAUGCCGUUGGUACAUAGACGAAGAUUUGCCG
rnacentral:rRNA from 1 species